GUUACACAUACACACACACAAACACACAAAAGCACAUUUGAUACGAACUUAAUAAGAUUUAACAGCUACAUUUUGUGCUGUUUUUAUUAUUUGAAUCGAGUUUUUGUUAAAGACUAAAGUGAAUUCAAAACGAGUCUUAUAGACAGUUUUCUCAUUAUAUUCGAGUCUCUUUUUGGCGGUACAGUCAGAAAUCAAUCGCUUUUAAUUUCAGUUUCGUUAGAUAUAAAAAGUGCAAGCUGCGAUUAACUAAGGUGGUGGCCAUCGGAAGGGUAAAAACUAAACUUAAGCUUAAGUUUUAGAAAUCGGAUUAGGCGGGAUCAAAAAUGCUUGCCAGCCGAUUUCCGAAACAAAAUUUAAAAUUUAAAUUCUGUACAGAGCUAUACGAGUUUUAAGCGAUCAAUCAGAAAACAUUAAAAUUAUUGAAAAGAACUAAAAGCGAUCGUCUGAAAAACGUAUGUGUUCGGAUCGGGUGUCUAUAUGUUAUCCGCGCCGUAACACGAAAUAGAUCAAUAUAAAAAAAAAGAAAAAAACUUUAAAUUAUUGUUGGGUAACGUUAUACAAGCCGAAGUGAAUUAAACAAAAAAAAAAAAAAAAAAACAAAUUGAACUACAUAUUAAAGGCACGUAAAAUGUUGCAACAAAAACAAACGAUAAAUGGUAAAUAAAUAAAAAGAGUUAACGUUUUACGAGCCGAGAAAAUAAACAAAUAAUAAACAGUAAAAAAAUUGUAACGUUAUACGAGCCUUAACAAAAUCUUUAAAAAUAUAUUGUUUGAAUCGAAAUAUAUAAUUGUGUUUUUAUUUCUAACUUGAGUAACGUAGGUGCGAAAGAGAUAUCGGCAUCAGCUAGUAUUCUUACUCUUUCAAAUUAAUGCUUUUGAGUGAGAUCGAUAUGUUGCUAUCUCUUUUCGUUCCAUGGAAACCAAUGAAAAUGGCUGAUAAUCUACAUUACAUGCAGCUAGCAACUGUACUUUGAACAUCCGAGAACAAGCGUGAUUACGUUUGCAUUCGUAAAAUACAUUUUUACCAUUUGUUUUCAUGUUCCUUUGUCGUGAGCUUAAGAGGCCGCCAUUUUGAAAUCGUCCAUUUUGAAAUUGACGUUACGCUGACUGCAUGUUCGCAUGUGACGAGCCGUGAAGUUAGCUGCAACAGUUCAGCUGGCAUAAACUUGGCUGACUUACACGUGUUGUGCGUACUAGCUAUGCUUGGUUUCCGAACUUAGCAGAGACACAACCCAAAGAGGUAUUGAUAUGUGGGCGCAGAAUCAGCGAUGUUGUGGCGGCAAAACGAUUCAGGUGCAUUAUCGAUUAAUGAUAGGCUACUAUCGAUGUCUCGUGUCGUGUAGAGCUGCCAGAUGUUGCUUCUGCGUGGAAAUCGCGUCGCGUCGCAAUAUUGUUGCAAUUAACAUUAAAAGUAAUUAAAAGUAUGAAAAAAUCUAUCUAAAGUAAUGCAGAUGAGUUUCACAUCGAACGGGCUUUGGAGCAGCGAGUAAAGGCCAACUGAAAAUUGAGCUGCUGCAGCUGUUGUUGAAAAAUACGCAGUAACUGGCUGAAAACAAGAGGAAGAAAGCAACGCGCGUAAUUUGAAACGAGCAAAAAAAUAACAACAACAAUUACAAAGUAAGCAGCAGCAGCAGCAUCAGCUUGGCAAUCAGAGCAGGCGAGGCGGGCAGCCAGACAGCCAAAGGACGAAGCAGGCAAUCAAUCAAAGACAACAGUCCUUAACAGCAAAGCAAAGGUAAAGGCAAAAGCAAAAGCAAAAGUAAACGCAAAGGCAAA